AUUCAAUCUCUUCUAGGAAUUUCAACUGCUUUUGAAUUUAUAGAUUGUUUCGGAUUAUUCACAGUAAGUGGCCUGUUUCUCUCGGAGUUUCUUUGAAUUGAGAAGCCCCCCGGGGAGGCCAGAAGAGAAGAGAAAGGAAACAAGCCUGACUCACCAUAGUCUAGUUAGUUUACAGUUUAAAGUGAGUAAUCGAGCCGUGUGACCAGCAGCGUGACCUUCAACUAGUUGAGUAACAGUCUGUGUUUAUGAUCUGUGUACCUCGGGGGAGAUUAGUAAUAUUUAUUGAAUACUUUCAAAGUGCUUGGAAAUAAUGGUCAGAGAAGAACAUAAGAGAACACGAUCCCUGUGUUCAAAUGUCUCUAUUAAAAGGAAACAAGAUCUUUUGAGGCUGCUCCAGGAUUGAAGCUGAGUUCAGAUCCGGAACCUGGUAAUAGGAACUUGAUUAUUAGGAGGCAAAGCCUGGUAGCAAGACCCAGGACCACACCAUAUGAAGCAGUUAACCAAUGAAGUCAACCAACAAGAGUUGAAAAAGUACAUGAGGAGUUAAACCAACUGAGGCUUAGAGCCCAAUAUAGAUU